GGUUGUGGUGGUCAACUUCUCCGGAGAUGAGAGAUCGAUACCGAACCCGCUAGAACUGUGGUAAUCUCUGCAUCUGAAGAACUCUAUCGUGAAGCACUCAAUAGGCUGAGGUGAAUGAAAGAUGGGUUUUUGGUCUUCUCAGGUUUCUUAAAAACCAAAAGUGACAUGGAAAAAUUCUUCUGAGAUCUCUCCAAAACCAGAGGCAACCUUGUGGAUUCAAGUUCUGAAUUGAAUUUUAGCUUUGAAUCGAGCUUCUGACUUCUGGUUUGGAAUUGAAUCUUGGAAAUGAGGGUGAACUUUUUAAGGAGUUAUCAGAAUAUUUACCUAGGCCAAUCCAGUAAAUGCCAACUUUUUUGGCUUCUAAUUCUUUGUUAUGAAUUGAAUUUUGGAAAUAAAGGUUGAUUUUUUAAGCUCUUGAGUUAGUGAGGAGCCAUGCAGUGGAAGCUUGGCAUGGUGUUUGGCAGAGAAAGCUUGUCUAUUUGUUAAAGUUUAGAUCUUGACAGUUAAAACUGCUGAUUUAAUGAUUUGUUUGUGUUUAUUGGGCAUGUGAUCAUACACUUUGCAAUCAAAAUCUUGUCUGUUUCAUCAA